AGACAGCAGUAGCCACGGUAAUACGUAGGUGGCAAGCGUUGUCCGGAAUUAUUGGGCGUAAAGCGCGCGCAGGUGGUUUAAUAAGUCUGAUGUGAAAGCCCACGGCUCAACCGUGGAGAGUCAUUGGAAACUGGGAGACUUGAGUGCAGAAGAGGAGAGCGGAAUUCCAUGUGUAGCGGUGAGAUGCGUAGAUAUAUGGAGGAACACCAGUGGCGAAGGCGGCUCUCUGGUCUGUAACUGACGCUGAGGCUCGAAAGCGUGGGGAGCAAACAGGAUUAGAUACCCCCGUAGUCCCUGUCUCUUAUAC
rnacentral:rRNA from 1 species